rnacentral:rRNA from 1 species
GGCUCACCAAGCCAAUGACGGGUAUCUGGUUUGAGAGGAUGAUCAGACACACUGGAACUGAGACACGGUCCAGACUCCUACGGGAGGCAGCAGUGAGGAAUAUUGCACAAUGGAGGAAACUCUGAUGCAGCAACGCCGCGUGGAGGAUGACGCAUUUCGGUGUGUAAACUCCUUUUAAGAGGGAAGAUUAUGACGGUACCUCUUGAAUAAGCACCGGCUAACUCCGUGCCAGCAGCCGCGGUAAUACGGAGGGUGCAAGCGUUACUCGGAAUCACUGGGCGUAAAGGGUGCGUAGGCUGACUUUUAAGUCAGGCGUGAAAUCCAAUGGCUUAACCAUUGAACUGCGCUUGAAACUGGGAGUCUAGAGUUCAGAAGGGGCAGAUGGAAUUAGUGGUGUAGGGGUAAAAUCCGUAGAUAUCACUAGGAAUAUCAAAAGCGAAGGCGAUCUGCUGGGAUGAUACCGACGCUGAGGCACGAAAGCGUGGGGAGCAAACAGGAUUAGAUACCCUGGUAGUCCACGCCCUAAACGAUGAAUGCUAGUCGUCGGGGAGCUCGUCUCUUCGGUGAUGCACCUAACAGAUUAAGCAUUCCGCCUGGGGAGUACGGUCGCAAGAUUAAAACUCAAAGGAAUAGACGGGGACCCGCACAAGUGGUGGAGCAUGUGGUUUAAUUCGAAGAUACACGAAGAACCUUACCUGGCCUUGACAUGGUAGGAACCCUGUAGAGAUACGGGGGUGCUGGCUUGCUAGAGCCUACACACAGGUGCUGCACGGCUGUCGUCAGCUCGUGUCGUGAGAUGUUGGGUUAAGUCCCGCAACGAGCGCAACCCUCGUCCUUAGUUGCUAACGGUUCGGCCGAGCACUCUAAGGAGACUGCCUUCGCAAGGAGGAGGAAGGUGAGGACGACGUCAAGUCAUCAUGGCCCUUACGGCCAGGGCUACACACGUGCUACAAUGGGGCGUACAGAGAGCUGCGAUACCGCGAGGUGGAGCCAAUCUCUUAAAGCGUCUCUCAGUUCGGAUUGUUCUCUGCAACUCGAGAACAUGAAGCUGGAAUCACUAGUAAUCGCAGAUCAGCUAUGCUGCGGUGAAUACGUUCCCGGGUCUUGUACUCACCGCCCGUCACACCAUGGGAGUUGAUUUCACCCGAAAUCGGGAUGCCAAAC